CAGAUGAUCAGGACAGAAGGAGUUCAAGUACCAGAAGGCCAAAUAGGAGAUGUAGAGAACAGCUACAAGUACCUGUGGAUACAACUAACACAUGGCAACCACGAGAAAGAGGCAAGGAGGAUAGCAACAUCCAAGUACCUCCAGAGAGUCAGACAGGUCCUGAAGUCCCAGCUCAAUGGCAAGAACAAGAUAUAAGCCACCAACGCAAAUGCCCUACUUUAUC